GACGAACGCUGGCGGCGUGCUUAACACAUGCAAGUCGAACGGAAAGGCCCUGCUUUUGUGGGGUGCUCGAGUGGCGAACGGGUGAGUAACACGUGAGUAACCUGCCCUUGACUUUGGGAUAACUUCAGGAAACUGGGGCUAAUACCAGAUAGGAGCUCCUGCUGCAUGGUGGGGGUUGGAAAGUUUCGGCGGUUGGGGAUGGACUCGCGGCUUAUCAGCUUGUUGGGUGGGUAGUGGCUUACCAAGGCUUUGCCGGGUAGCCGGCCUGAGAGGGUGAGCGGCCACAUUGGGACUGAGAUACGGCCCAGACUCCUCCGGGAGGCAGCAGUGGGGAAUAUUGCACAAUGGGCGGAAGCCUGAUGCAGCACCGCAGCGUGCGGGAUGACGGCCUUCGGGUUGUAAACCGCUUUCGCCUGUGACGAAGCGUGAGUGACGGUAAUGGGUAAAGAAGCACCGGCUAACUACGUG
rnacentral:rRNA from 1 species